GAUGAACGCUGGCGGCGUGCCUAAUACAUGCAAGUCGAGCGAACAGAUGAGGAGCUUGCUCCUCUGACGUUAGCGGCGGACGGGUGAGUAACACGUGGAUAACCUACCUAUAAGACUGGGAUAACUUCGGGAAACCGGAGCUAAUACCGGAUAAUAUAUUGAACCGCAUGGUUCAAUAGUGAAAGACGGUUUUGCUGUCACUUAUAGAUGGACCCGCGCCGCAUUAGCUAGUUGGUAAGGUAACGGCUUACCAAGGCAACGAUGCGUAGCCGACCUGAGAGGGUGAUCGGCCACACUGGAACUGAGACACGGUCCAGACUCCUACGGGAGGCAGCAGUAGGGAAUCUUCCGCAAUGGGCGAAAGCCUGACGGAGCAACGCCGCGUGAGUGAUGAAGGUCUUCGGAUCGUAAAACUCUGUUAUUGGGGAAGAACAAAUGUGUAAGUAACUAUGCACGUCUUGACGGUACCUAAUCAGAAAGCCACGGCUAACUACGUG
rnacentral:rRNA from 1 species